CGGGGAAACCCGGAUUAAUACCGCAUGAUCUUUUCGAAGCAAAGCCGGGGACCGCAAGGCCUGGCGCUUUUGGAGAAGCCUACGUCGGAUUAGCUAGUUGGUGAGGUAAUGGCUCACCAAGGCUGCGAUCCGUAACUGGUCUGAGAGGAUGAUCAGUCACAUCGGAACUGAGACACGGUCCGAACUCCUACGGGAGGCAGCAGUGGGGAAUAUUGGACAAUGGGCGAAAGCCUGAUCCAGCAAUACCGCGUGUGUGAAGAAGGCCUUCGGGUUGUAAAGCACUUUAGGUCGGAAAGAAAAAACUUGAGUUAAUACCUUAAGUCUUGACGGUACCGACAGAAUAAGCACCGGCUAACUCUGUGCCAGCAGCCGCGGUAAUACAGAGGGUGCAAGCGUUAAUCGGAUUUACUGGGCGUAAAGCGUGCGUAGGUGGCUGUUUAAGUCGGAUGUGAAAGCCCUGGGCUUAACCUGGGAACUGCAUUCGAUACUGGAUAGCUAGAGAUCGGUAGAGGGCAGCGGAAUUCCGGGUGUAGCGGUGAAAUGCGUAGAUAUCCGGAGGAACACCGAUGGCGAAGGCAACUGCCUGGGCCUGAUC
rnacentral:rRNA from 1 species